rnacentral:lncRNA from 1 species
GCAAUGUCGCUUUUCUCAGUAGGAUUCAACCUAACAGAAUAACUCAAUUCAUGCCUGUUAAGUGAUGCCCCUGGUCCAUAACCAAUCAUACCGCCAUAAUUCAUGUUAACCGUGGACCUGCAUAACCCAAACCAUAACAGUCAGUAAGCUUCAAAACCUUAAAACCGUCCUAGGAACAAUGUUGCAUUUACAAGGUUCCUAACCAUCUUUUGAAGUUGAUUGAAGAAGCUUUUACUCCAAAUUUGCACUGCAGUAACACAAAGCAA